rnacentral:lncRNA from 1 species
AUGUGGCCAUGGGGCCACAGGACAUCACUGCGGACGGAGGUUCUUAUGCAGAUUAAUGAGGAUGGAGACCGUUGCAGAACUAUAAGCUCCCCAGGGGCUGACAGAAGCCUGGGAACACCCGAGACACCAGAGUCGCUGCUGCCCUGGGUGGAAGGAAACCUGCCCUGGAAGAUGGGAAACGCAAUACGGAGAAAGUACCAAGGGAAUAACCACAGGCGCAUCCACAGGGACCAUUUCCAGCUGAUUUAUGGAACGCUGUUCUACCUGGUUAAUUUUGAACGUUAUCUCAGUCUGAGAGGCAGUGGCUCCCUACCUGUGAGUAGUCAGAAAGGUUCACGCAGUUUUCCAGGGCGGCCUUUGCAUUUACUGGAACUAUUACGAGCUCGUUCCUGCUUCGGCGGCCAUUGACACGCAGUUCGUGUGAGGCCGUGCGUGGCUUAGCGUCUUCUGCAGGCUUAGAAGUCACUUUCUGUUCUUCCCCAAGCCUGCUCCGCUGUGCCGAGUAUUUACUGCGGGCGACGGUCACGCUGUCUGGCACAGGCCACCAAGGCCACAGGGCAGGCUCCACCUAGCGGAGCCUGCAGAAUGGCAGAGUUCGGCCUCCUUGCCGCCCUUCACGGGGAGCAGAAAGCGCAAGCCUGUGAUCAGAGCUGUGCUAGCCCAGAAAGCCUCCGAACAGGUUGAAUUGAGGAAUCGGCUCCUAUCAACUGCCCAUGUUUAGGAUGUGUCUGAGUUUUUGUGAUUUUUCCUGCACUGAAGCUACUGGGCUGGCUCUGAGUCACCGUCAUGGGACUUCACUUGCCCCGACGGGAAGCGGCGGGGGAGGAGGGCUGCACAGAGGCUUGCGGCCGUGAUAAUGAAGGGCUUGUUGCCUCUUGGGACAGCGAGUUCAAACUCUUUGUAAUUGUCAGCAUAAAGAGUGACCCGCUGAGGACACGGCUGUAAUUCAGGGUGGCAUGGUUGAUUGUCAUAGUUGAUAUCAGGUAUCUGCCUCUAAAAUGACGG